rnacentral:lncRNA from 1 species
GGGAACUGGACCACACAAGAAAUAUAAAUUGAAAAUAAAAUAAAAUAAAAGAAUAAAAUAAGAAAGUGGUCAUACAAGACCCCAUCCUCAAAAUGAGGGCCCAACAAACAAGGAGAGGACAUGUUGACUUUAGCUAUAAGUCUAACAUAUAUAUAUAUAUUUUAAAGGUGCUUGGGUUACAGCCCACUGUAGCCCAUAUGCUGGUUCCGCCCCUGCUCAAAUGAUCUUG